GUGCCAGCCGCCGCGGUAAUACGAGGGGCCCGAGCGUUAAUCGGAAUCACUGGGCUUAAAGGGUGCGCAGGCGGAUCGGAAAGCGUUUUGUGAAAGCCCCCGGCUCAACCGGGGAACAGCGGGGCGAACUACCGAUCUUGAGGCAGGUAGGGGCAGACGGAACUGUCGGUGGAGCGGUGAAAUGCAUAGAUAUCGACAGGAACACCAAUGGCGAAGGCAGUCUGCUGGGCCUGUCCUGACGCUCAGGCACGAAAGCGUGGGGAGCAAACAGGAUUAGAAACCCUCGUAGUCC
rnacentral:rRNA from 1 species